rnacentral:rRNA from 1 species
GAUGAACGCUAGCGGCAGGCUUAAUACAUGCAAGUCGAGGGGCAGCACAGAUAGCAAUAUUGGGUGGCGACCGGCAAACGGGUGCGGAACACGUACACAACCUUCCUUUUGGUGGGGGAUAGCCUUUGGAAACGGAGAUUAAUACCCCAUAAGAUAUUGUGACCGCAUGGUUAUGAUAUUAAAGAUUUAUUGCCAGAAGAUGGGUGUGCGUAUGAUUAGGUAGUUGGUGAGGUACAGGCUCACCAAGCCGACGAUCAUUAACUGGUGUGGGAGCACGACCAGUAACACGGGCACUGAGACACGGGCCCGACUCCUACGGGGGGCAGCAGUAAGGAAUAUUGGUCAAUGGACGGAAGUCUGAACCAGCCAUGCCGCGUGGAGGAUGAAGGUCCUCUGGAUUGUAAACUUCUUUUAUAUGGGGCGAAAAAGGGCCAUUCUUGGUCAACUGACGGUACCAUAUGAAUAAGCACCGGCUAACUCCGUGCCAGCCGCCGCAGUAAGAC